AGUAACGCGUGAGUAACCUGCCUUUCAGAGGGGGAUAACGUUCUGAAAAGAACGCUAAUACCGCAUGAGACUACAGAGCUGCAUGGCUCAGUGGUCAAAGGAGCAAUCCGCUGAAAGAUGGACUCGCGUCCGAUUAGAUAGUAGGCGGGGUAACGGCCCACCUAGUGACGAUCGGUAGCCGGACUGAGAGGUUGAACGGCCACAUUGGGACUGAGACACGGCCCAGACUCCUACGGGAGGCAGCAUG
rnacentral:rRNA from 1 species